GGGGGCAGUUACCAACACUGGGCUUGAUGGUGGCCGUCGUCUUGGUAUUUAGUUUUAAAUUUUAUAUGUUCAACAUGGGGAAGGCUUAGUGGUAUUCUGUUUAUUUUAAGAAUGGCCAGACUUCCAGAGUUGUUGAGCAUUUGAUGUGGUCCUUUCCAUACAUCAUUUUAUGUAACUAUAAACUUGCAGAAAUUGAAUCAUACCAUUGAAGUGUUCACUUUCUAAAGAAAUCUUAAUUUGAAAAACUUGGAAUUUGCUUAGAACCCAAAAUGCAGACAUGGUAUAUUUAUUGCAACACGUAGUAGGUAUUUAGUAAAUUUGAUGUUGAAUCAAAGUAGAUUUUUCUCUCGCUACUGAUUACUCUUCCCCAGAUUUUAAGUUCAAUUGGUAUUAUUUCUUAUGAGCAGCUUAAUUCUUAGAUAUGAGAGUAGGAAAAAAUAAGAGAAAUUGUGGAUAUGGACAUACUUCUUAUACAUAAGUACUAUACAUAUUACUCAUGUCAUAUAUUCUUAUUAUGGUCCAUGGUAAAAACCAGUCCUUAGUAGUAAAAAAGGAAAAUGUAGAUUCAAAUGAAAUUUGCCUAAUGUUUCAGGUAAUUUUUUUUCCUAUAAUUGACUCCCCAUCAGCCUUUGAAUCAAAUCCUUGUUUAAAGAAGUCAAUAGCUUGGACAGAGUGGAGUUUAUUGUCAGGAGCUUUCGGAAAUGAGACAUCAAAUUAAAAAUCAAUUAUAUGUGCAGAAAAGUUGGUGUAAGGUAAUCCAUUUUGUCAGUUAGUUUGCAGAAAGAUUCUACUGUGUAACAAGCUGUAGCAGAAAUGUAUUUUAGGAUACUCAGUAAAUGAAAUCAGCCAGGCAUUAGAAGGGGAGAGGUAACUUCAAAAAUUUACCUCAGUAUUUCAUGUCAGAAGUCCCCUCUGGGUUAAAGCUACAAAUUCAGCUGUGACCUUGCCUUUCACAUCCCUGGCUUUUAUUGCUUUCGAGGCUUCCUCUUUGUACUGUGGUCAAAGCAGUUAAGUUAGUCUGCCUGUUUUUCACCUUCUUUUUAAACAAGCCCCCCACUGAACACAAGCACCCCCAAUUAUUCUUCACUGCCCAGGAUAAUCUUUUAAAAUCAAAGAGUAAUUUUUAUGGGACAUUUUUCAUUUUUGCUUGAAGUGAGGGCGCAUUGGGGAGAAUCUUCAGCUUGAAAGAUUAAUAAAUACUAGAGCAGUGGGUUAUUGAAACCAUGUUUUCCAUCUCAUUUUCAAGGGCAAGUAAAAAAAAAAUGCAGAUAGCAUACACUCUCCACCACUCUGUCUUCUUUCUCUGUUCGUUUAAAAAAUGAGAACAAGGCACAAGGGGACUUGAGAGAUUGCGUUUGUUCUCCCAAAGACAAAGCGGUUAUUUUAUAAACGAAGAGGAUGGAAAACCCUUUCCUUCUGCAGUUUCUUAGCAACAGAACUGGAGUCCGUUUCAAUGUGCACGCACGGAACGCUCUCUGCAUAGUGACAUUAGAGCUUUCCAUUUUCACAGGCGAAACACGCCGAGUAGCCUGGUAGCUAGAAGACAGGGUUGGGGGAAGGAAACAGGAGGUCAAAAAUGGGACCCUACUACCUUGAGAGGAAGUAACUCAUUUAAAGCGUCUCCCUUCCUGGCAUGCUUGUCUUAAAUCGCAGGUUGCUCUUAGGUAAUGGCCUCGCUAGCCCCAGUUGGUUGCCACAUGCACUAGAGCGCCAGCCUGGUUUUUUUGUUUGUUUUGUUUUUGUAUUUCCUAGUCGUGUUUUCUUCUUCUUCUUUUCCUCCUAAUACCCUGCAGCUGUUAAGUGACACUUAGGGCUGAUGUUUCAGCACCUGCUGUAGGACAUUUUUCCAAAUAUGUUUGUAUGGGUAAAUUCCAGUGCGUUUUCCACACGUGGAGGCCACGUGCGGAGGUGUUAGGAAGCAGGAUGUUUGGCAGUCACAAGGGAGAGGGUCUCUGCGAUCAGGCCCAGGUCCGUGUCUCCAGCUUUGCACUUCUGGAGUUUGGUGUUAGGGUUUGGCAGAUGGCAAGUGAGCAUGAAAAUAGGAUGACUCCUUUGUGUUCUCUACCAGGAUCCUUGGGCAGUCUUGAUUUUAGAUUACCGUUUGAAAUUCAUUCACUUCUUUCAUAAAAGUAUAGAGAAAUACCAGCACUCUGACAGGCACCAUUUAAUGUACUAGGGACACAGCAGUGAACUGAAAAAAGGCCCAGAAAUCCUUGUCCCCACAGAGCUGACAUUCUAGAGGGAAGACAGCUUAAACCUGAUCACUAAGUGACGUGCCUUGUGUGUUAGCUAAGUGCCAGAGUCUUACAUCCCCAGAACACAGCCCAGGGCCUGGAGCAAGGCUGAUCGUCAGAAAGUAUUGUUUGGGAGUUCCCACUGUAGCACAGUGAGUUAAAGGAUCUGGCGUUGCUUCAGGUCUGGCAUAGGGCACAGCUCCCUGGCCUGGGAGCUUCCAUGUGCUGUGGGUGUGGCCAAAGAAGACAAAAGAUAGAAAAACAGAUAGGGAGAUAGGUAUGUAGGUAGGUGGAUAGACAGUUGAUAGAUAGUUUGGGUUGAACAGAAGAGAAACCUAGUUUCCCCCACCCCCAGGAUCCCGAGAUCACUUCUGUUGGCACAUUUGGCUGCACCCCUUCACUGAUGCAAUCCGGGAGGCUUCUCCUUCAACCAGCGCAGGCCAGUGCUCGUUCUAACGCCAGCAGAAUGAAGUGGCUAUUUCCCUGUCCUUUUCUUCUCAGUCGCUUCCCCUGGAGGGAACAGCCAACACCGUCCGGUUGUCUGUGGUUUUAUUUUCUAGACCCCAAUUUAAAGAAGCCCAUUCCUGCAGUACCUGCCAUGGUGCAGCAGGAUCGGUGGCAUCUCUGGAGCACUGGGACGUAGGUUCAGUCCCUGGCCUGGCGUAGCGGGUUAAGGAUCCAAUGUUGCCGCAGCUGUGGCUCGGAUCUGAUCCAUGGCCUAGAAACCCCAUAUGCUGUGGGGUGGCU
rnacentral:lncRNA from 1 species